rnacentral:rRNA from 1 species
GCGCUAAAUGAUGAGCCUAAGUCGGAUUAGCUAGUUGGUGGGGUAAAGGCCUACCAAGGCGACGAUCUGUAGCGGGUCUGAGAGGAUGAUCCGCCACACUGGGACUGAGACACGGCCCAGACUCCUACGGGAGGCAGCAGUGGGGAAUAUUGGACAAUGGGCGAAAGCCUGAUCCAGCCAUGCCGCGUGUGUGAAGAAGGCCUUUUGGUUGUAAAGCACUUUAAGCGAGGAGGAGGCUACUAGUACUAAUACUACUGGAUAGUGGACGUUACUCGCAGAAUAAGCACCGGCUAACUCUGUGCCAGCAGCCGCGGUAAUACAGAGGGUGCGAGCGUUAAUCGGAUUUACUGGGCGUAAAGCGUGCGUAGGCGGCUUUUUAAGUCGGAUGUGAAAUCCCCGAGCUUAACUUGGGAAUUGCAUUCGAUACUGGGAAGCUAGAGUAUGGGAGAGGAUGGUAGAAUUCCAGGUGUAGCGGUGAAAUGCGUAGAGAUCUGGAGGAAUACCGAUGGCGAAGGCAGCCAUCUGGCCUAAUACUGACGCUGAGGUACGAAAGCAUGGGGAGCAAACAGGAUUAGAUACCCUGGUAGUCCAUGCCGUAAACGAUGUCUACUAGCCGUUGGGGCCUUUGAGGCUUUAGUGGCGCAGCUAACGCGAUAAGUAGACCGCCUGGGGAGUACGGUCGCAAGACUAAAACUCAAAUGAAUUGACGGGGGCCCGCACAAGCGGUGGAGCAUGUGGUUUAAUUCGAUGCAACGCGAAGAACCUUACCUGGCCUUGACAUACUAGAAACUUUCCAGAGA